rnacentral:tRNA from 1 species
GUAUGGUAGCUCAGUGGUAGAGUACUUGCAUAGCACAUGUGAGGCACUGGGUUCAAUCCUCAGUACCACACA